CAUUGAUGGAAAUUACACAAUUCCUUCACCCUUUUGCAAAGAAUAAAACAGAAACAAAACCCCAAAAGACCACCACAACAAGUCCCACGAAUACCUCACUCAACCAAAAGGGCUGUGAACGCAGACCACACCUUCCUGAACAUGCACCAGGAGCACUUGGCCCAGGAAAGGUAUCUGAGCAUCAGGGGACAGCAACAUCUCGGUGGAACCCUCAAGGGCCCUAUAAGACAAUAAUAAGCAUACAAAAUGUGUUCAUCAGAGUCCCAGAGUUCUGUGAUGAGCUUUGGUGUGAGUGGGAGGGAGGCUAGGGGUGAGAAGUUAAGGAGCAUCGGACUCCAAUCUCUUACCCACCUUUUCACCCGAGAUCAAAGCUUCACUUUUAGCUGCUUCCUGUACUGGGGCAAUGUAGGGGAGUUCGCUUAUGAAAGGGGCUCUGCUGAUUGAGGCAAGCUUAAACACAGGAAUUGCUAAUCUGACAUUCUUGCAUCCUAAGAGUGAAGAAAAACGAGCCCGAAAGAUGUUAAGUGACCUAUCUAAAGAGGCCCGGC
rnacentral:lncRNA from 1 species